rnacentral:rRNA from 1 species
UUAAGCUACUAAGAGCGCACGGAGGAUGCCUAGGCGCCAGAAGCCGAUGAAGGACGUGGCGAACCACGAUAGGCCUCGGGGAGCUGUAAGCAAGCGUUGAUCCGGGGAUUUCCGAAUGGGGAAACCCAGCUGGAGUAAUGUCCAGUUACUGCAGAGUGAAUACAUAGCUCUGCGUGAGGCACACCAGGGGAACUGAAACAUCUAAGUACCCUGAGGAAGAGAAAACAAACGUGAUUCCGUCAGUAGCGGCGAGCGAACGCGGAUUAGCCCAAACCAGGAGGCUUGCCUCCUGGGGUUGUGGGACGUCUCACAUGGAGUUACAAAGGAAUGGGUUAGGCGAAGAGGUCUGGAAAGGCCCGCUACAAGAGGUAAAAGCCCUGUACCCAAAAGUCCAUUCCCUCCGAGACGGAUCCCGAGUACCGCGAGACACGUGAAACCUCGUGGGAAUCCGGCAGGACCAUCUGCCAAGGCUAAAUACUCUCUGGCGACCGAUAGUGAAGCAGUACCGUGAGGGAAAGGUGAAAAGCACCGCGGGAGCGGAGUGAAAUAGAACCUGAAACCGUGCGCUUACAAAAAGUCAGAGCCCUCUAUAUGGGUGAUGGCGUGCCUUUUGUAGAAUGAACCGGCGAGUUACGUUCACGUGCAAGGUUAAGUCGGGAAGACGGAGCCGCAGCGAAAGCGAGUCUGAAUAGGGCGCCAUAGUACGUGGAUGUAGACCCGAAACCGUGUGAUCUACCCCUGUCCAGGGUGAAGGUGNGGUAANACNNACUGGAGGCCCGAACCCACGAAUGUUGAAAAAUUCGGGGAUGAGGUGGGGGUAGCGGAGAAAUUCCAAUCGAACUCGGAAAUAGCUGGUUCUCCCCGAAAUAGCUUUAGGGCUAGCCUCGGUGUUGAGCAUGCUGGAGGUAGAGCACUGAUUGGGUGCGGGGCCCGCCAAGGGUUACCAAGUCCAGUCAAACUCCGAAUGCCAGUCAUGUAUAACCGGGAGUCAGACGGUGAGUGCUAAGAUCCAUCGUCAAGAGGGAAACAGCCCAGAUCAUCAGCUAAGGUCCCCAAGUGUGUGUUAAGUGGGAAAGGAUGUGGAGUUGCCCAGACAACCAGGAUGUUGGCUUAGAAGCAGCCACCAUUUAAAGAGUGCGUAAUAGCUCACUGGUCGAGUGACUCUGCGCCGAAAAUGUAACGGGGCUAAACACACCACCGAAGCUAUGGCAUGUACCAAUAGGUACUUGGGUAGGGGAGCGUUGUGUAUAGGUUGAAGUCAGACCGUAAGGACUGGUGGACAGUACACAAGUGAGAAUGCCGGUAUGAGUAACGAAAAGAUCAGUGAGAAUCUGAUCCGCCGUAAGCCUAAGGGUUCCUGAGGAAGGUUCGUCCGCUCAGGGUAAGUCGGGACCUAAGGCGAGGCCGAAAGGCGUAGUCGAAGGACAACAGGUUGAUAUUCCUGUACCACCGUAAGCCGUUAUGAGCGAUGGAGUGACGCAGAAGGGUAGUGACGCGGACCGAUGGAUGUGUCCGUCCAAGCAGUGAGGCUGGUUUGUUGGCAAAUCCGCAAACCGUAAGGCUGGGCUGUGAUGGGGAGGGAAANNUAUAGUACCGAAGGUCAUGAUCUCCNGCUGCCAAGAAAAGCUUCUAGCCAGGCGAAGGUGCCCGUACCGCAAACCGACACAGGUAGGCGAGCAGAGCAUGCUAAGGCGCGCGGAGUAACUCUCGUUAAGGAACUCGGCAACAUGACCCCGUAACUUCGGGAGAAGGGGUGCCUCGGUAGGGUGAA